AUUGAACGCUGGCGGCAGGCCUAACACAUGCAAGUCGAACGAGUGGCGGACGGGUGAGUAAUGUCUGGGAAACUGCCUGAUGGAGGGGGAUCACUACUGGAAACGGUAGCUAAUACCGCAUACCAUCGGAUGUGCCCAGAUGGGAUUAGCUAGGAGGUGGGGUAACGGCUCACCUAGGCGACGAUCCCUAGCUGGUCCGAGAGGAUGACCGGCAAAACUGGAACUGGUACAGGGUCCAGACUCCUACGGGAGGCAGCAGGGGGGAAUAUUGCACAAUGGGCGCAGGCCGGAUGCAGCCAUGCGGCGGGUGGGAAGAAGGCCUUGGGGUUGUAAAGCACUUUCAGCGGGGAGGCGGUACCCGCAGAAGAAGCACCGGCUAACUCCGUGCCAGCAGCCGCGGUAAUAC
rnacentral:rRNA from 1 species